AACCGGAGAUCUCCGGCCGACUACUGUCACCGGCUCCUUUUCCUUCAAACACCCCCCACCUCUCGACACCCUUACACUCGCAACACGUUUCGACAUUAUAAUACCUCACCUCAUUCUGUUUCGGGCACCUCUCAACCGCACUCUAUCUUGCAUUCCCGCUCCCGAACACACCUUCUGAAUAAGCGAACAAGAAACAAUACAUCGGAGGUAUACGGAUGCCGCCGGAGAUCGCAAAGACAUCGGAGAACAACCGGAAUGCGGCACGCCUCGGAUAAUCGCCCUUGUUCAUUUUCUUGGAUUUUUCCCAAUCUUACUCGUACGCUACUUACAAGAAAUCGCAACGCAAC
rnacentral:lncRNA from 1 species